rnacentral:rRNA from 1 species
UACAUAGGUGGCAAGCGUUAUCCGGAUUUAUUGGGCGUAAAGAGAACGCAGGCGGUCUUUUAAGUCUGAUGUGAAAGCCUUCGGCUUAACCGGAGUAGUGCAUUGGAAACUGGAAGACUUGAGUGCAGAAGAGGAGAGUGGAACUCCAUGUGUAGCGGUGAAAUGCGUAGAUAUAUGGAAGAACACCAGUGGCGAAAGCGGCUCUCUGGUCUGUAACUGACGCUGAGGUUCGAAAGCGUGGGUAGCAAACAGG